CCUACCUUUAUGCGUUCGCCAUUGCCAAUGCCUUUGCACUGUUCCAUAGACGACUUGCACUUGUUUUUUUGUUGCCGCUCACUGCUACUACCUCUCCCCAUGUUCCCGUAGUGGCGUCCGUUCCUGAACAAACAGACGAUUCUCCCUGCACUGGGAUCGCAAAGGCAGAUCUUUGCAAAUCCCAGGCCAUACCGGCGAAAAUGUUUCUGGCCUUGGACUGUAGAGAUCAGUGGAGAGCGGCGUAGCGGAUUCUGGGAUUCGGCGACAUCUUUUCUGGUCGUGGUCAUCGUCGUUGAGGAUUUCUUUUGGUGCGAAUUUUGGUGAGCGCUAGGCACUGUAGCAGCGUGCCUUUUGCACGCGCCUCCGUGUAGCUAGAGGAGGAGGAGGAGGAGGCCGGGGGAUAUGCUGGUGGAUUCCCUGCGCCGCGGCCGCUUGUGCCGCCCUUGUUGAGAGCUCUCGCGGCGGGCACCACGUGAGGCUGCGUCGGCGGGAGUGCGGAGCGAGACGCCCCCGUGAGCCGUGAGCGCUGCCGCCGUGACUGUUGUUAAUGUCAUCUGUCUCUACGACCCCGUUUGGGGGAGUUUGUUC